rnacentral:snRNA from 1 species
CCCUAGACUUCGCCUUAGGGCAAAAUCAAAAUUGGAACGAUACAGAGAAGAUUAGCAUGGUCCCUGCGCAAGGAUGACACACUGUCUCUUGAGUGGAAGCAUCUUCUA